rfam:Gossypium hirsutum cultivar TM-1 chromosome 23, whole genome shotgun sequence
UGUAAAAAACUUCAUUCAUUUCUACUGUUAAAAAUUGGCAUGGCUGACAAAAUAACCAAACAAAUACACAUGGUGUGUCACGUGUACCCCAUGUUGACGUACAAUGACCAAUUUUUAACAGUAGAAACGGAUGAAAAUUUUAACA